GACGAACGCUGGCGGCGUGCUUAACACAUGCAAGUCGAGCGGAAAGGCCCUGCUUUCGUGGGGUGCUCGAGUGGCGAACGGGUGAGUAACACGUGAGUAGCCUGCCCUUGACUUUGGGAUAACUUCAGGAAACUGGGGCUAAUACCGGAUAGGAGCUCCUGCUGCAUGGUGGGGGUUGGAAAGUUUCGGCGGUUGGGGAUGGACUCGCGGCUUAUCAGCUUGUUGGUGGGGUAGUGGCUUACCAAGGCUAUGACGGGUAGCCGGCCUGAGAGGGUGACCGGCCACAUUGGGACUGAGAUACGGCCCAGACUCCUACGGGAGGCAGCAGUGGGGAAUAUUGCACAAUGGGCGGAAGCCUGAUGCAGCAACGCCGCGUGCGGGAUGACGGCCUUCGGGUUGUAAACCGCUUUCGCCUGUGACGAAGCGUGAGUGACGGUAAUGGGUAAAGAAGCACCGGCUAACUACGUGCCAGCCGCCGCCGUAAUAC
rnacentral:rRNA from 1 species